UACGUAGGUGACAAGCGUUGUCCGGAUUUACUGGGCGUAAAGAGCGCGCAGGCGGUCGAUCAAGUCGAGUGUGAAAGCCCCCGGCUCAACUGGGGAGGGUCAUUCGAUACUGAUCGACUCGAAGGCAGGAGAGGGUAGUGGAAUUCCCGGUGUAGUGGUGAAAUGCGUAGAUAUCGGGAGGAAUACCAGUGGCGAAGGCGGUGGUCUGGGCCGGCACUGACGCUGAGGAGCGAAAGCGUGGGUAGCAAACAGG
rnacentral:rRNA from 1 species